CCUACGGGAGGCAGCAGUGGGGAAUAUUGGACAAUGGGCGCAAGCCUGAUCCAGCCAUACCGCGUGGGUGAAGAAGGCCUUCGGGUUGUAAAGUCCUUUUGUUGGGAAAGAAAUCCAUUCCGGCUAAUACCUGAUUGGGAUGACGGUACCCAAAGAAUAAGCACCGGCUAACUUCGUG
rnacentral:rRNA from 1 species